GGAGGAGUGUCCGAGUGGUCGAAGGAGCUCGCCUGGAAAGUGAGUAAGCCGCAAGGCUUCGAGAGUUCGAAUCUCUCCUCCUCCG
rnacentral:tRNA from 1 species